CAGCCGCCGCGGGAAUACGAAGGGGGCUAGCGUUGUUCGGAUUUACUGGGCGUAAAGGGCGCGUAGGCGGGCGAAUAAGUCAGGGGUGAAAUCCCAAGGCUCAACCUUGGAGCUGCCUUUGAUACUGUUUGUCUUGAGUUCGAGAGAGGUAAGUGGAACUGCGAGUGUAGAGGUGAAAUUCGUAGAUAUUCGCAAGAACACCAGUGGCGAAGGCGGCUUACUGGCUCGAAACUGACGCUGAGGCGCGAAAGCGUGGGGAGCAAACAGGAUUAGAUACCCGCGUAGUCCCUGUCUCUUAUAC
rnacentral:rRNA from 1 species